GACGAACGCUGGCGGCGUGCUUAACACAUGCAAGUCGAACGAUGAAACCUAGCUUGCUAGGUCGAUUAGUGGCGAACGGGUGAGUAACACGUGACUAACCUGCCCCUUUCUCUGGGAUAACGCUCCGAAAGGAGUGCUAAUACCGGAUACUCACACCGAGGCACAUGCCUUGGUGUGGAAAGUUUUUCGGAAAGGGAUGGAGUCGCGGCCUAUCAGCUUGUUGGUGAGGUAACGGCUCACCAAGGCGACGACGGGUAGCCGGCCUGAGAGGGCGACCGGCCACACUGGGACUGAGACACGGCCCAGACUCCUACGGGAGGCAGCAGUGGGGAAUAUUGCACAAUGGGCGCAAACCUGAUGCAGCGACGCCGCGUGAGGGAUGAAGGUCUUCGGAUUGUAAACCUCUUUCAGUAGGGACGAAGCGAAAGUGACGGUACCUAAAGAAGAAGCACCGGCUAACUACGUGCCAGCCGCCGCCGUAA
rnacentral:rRNA from 1 species